CUUCUUUCAUCAUAUGAGAGCCUAAGGUAAGAAAAAUAGAGGCAGAUACUCAGAAACUCCCAUUGAAACUACCGUUGAAGGCAACUACCAUUUGUCCCUUUAGGAAGAUCUGGAGG
rnacentral:lncRNA from 1 species